AGGGAAGGUGGGGAUGACGUCAAGUCAGCAUGACCUUUAUAUCCUGGGCUACACACACGCUACAAUGGCAGAUACAAUAGGUUGCGAAACCGCGAGGUGGAGCCAAUCCUCAAAGUCUGUCUCAGUUCAGAUUGUAGGCUGCAACUCGCCUGCAUGAAGUUGGAGUUGCUAGUAAACGCAGGUCAGCUAUACUGCGUUGAAUACGUUCCCGGGGUUU
rnacentral:rRNA from 1 species